rnacentral:rRNA from 1 species
UACGGAGGGUGCGAGCGUGUUCGGAAUUACUGGGCGUAAAGGGCUCGUAGGUGGCCGACUAAGUCAGACGUGAAAUCCCUCAGCUUAACCGGGGAACUGCGUCUGAUACUGGAUGGCUUGAAUCCGGGAGAGGGAUGCGGAAUUCCAGGUGUAGCGGUGAAAUGCGUAGAUAUCUGGAGGAACACCGGUGGCGAAGGCGGCAUCCUGGACCGGCAUUGACGCUGAGGAGCGAAAGCCAGGGGAGCAAAGCGGG